UACGGGGGGAGCAAGCGUUGUUCGGAUUUACUGGGCGUAAAGGGCGCGUAGGCGGCCACUGCAAGUCAGUUGUGAAAUCUCCGGGCUUAACCCGGAAAGGUCAACUGAUACUGCAGGGCUAGAGUGCAGAAGGGGCAACUGGAAUUCUCGGUGUAGCGGUGAAAUGCGUAGAGAUCGGGAGGAACAUCAGUUGCGAAGGCGGCUCUCUGGACCAGCACUGACACUGAGGCACGAAAGCGUGGGGAGCAAACAGG
rnacentral:rRNA from 1 species